CACGUAGGUAACCUGCCCCGGAGCGGGGGAGUAACAUUUGGAAACAGAUGCUAAUACCGCAUAACAAUAAAAGCCGCAUGGCUUUUAUUUGAAAGAUGGCUUUGGCUAUCACUCUGGGAUGGACCUGCGGUGCAUUAGCUAGUUGGUAAGGUAACGGCUUACCAAGGCGAUGAUGCAUAGCCGAGUUGAGAGACUGAUCGGCCACAAUGGAACUGAGACACGGUCCAUACUCCUACGGGAGGCAGCAG
rnacentral:rRNA from 1 species